UACGGGGGGGGCAAGCGUUGUCCGGAUUUACUGGGCGUAAAGAGCGUGUAGGCGGCUCUGCAAGUCCUGCGUGAAAUCUCGAGGCUCAACCUCGAGACGUCGGCGGAAACCAUCUGGCUAGAGUCCGGAAGAGGAGAGUGGAAUUCCUGGUGUAGCGGUGAAAUGCGCAGAUAUCAGGAAGAACACCCGUGGCGAAGGCGGCUCUCUGGGAACGGUACUGACGCUGAGACGCGAAAGCGUGGGGAGCGAACAGG
rnacentral:rRNA from 1 species